GAUGAACGCUGGCGGCGUGCCUAAUACAUGCAAGUCGAGCGAACGGACGAGAAGCUUGCUUCUCUGAUGUUAGCGGCGGACGGGUGAGUAACACGUGGAUAACCUACCUAUAAGACUGGGAUAACUUCGGGAAACCGGAGCUAAUACCGGAUAAUAUUUUGAACCGCAUGGUUCAAAAGUGAAAGACGGUCUUGCUGUCACUUAUAGAUGGAUCCGCGCUGCAUUAGCUAGUUGGUAAGGUAACGGCUUACCAAGGCAACGAUGCAUAGCCGACCUGAGAGGGUGAUCGGCCACACUGGAACUGAGACACGGUCCAGACUCCUACGGGAGGCAGCAGUAGGGAAUCUUCCGCAAUGGGCGAAAGCCUGACGGAGCAACGCCGCGUGAGUGAUGAAGGUCUUCGGAUCGUAAAACUCUGUUAUUAGGGAAGAACAUAUGUGUAAGUAACUGUGCACAUCUUGACGGUACCUAAUCAGAAAGCCGCGGCUAACUACGU
rnacentral:rRNA from 1 species